AGUUGACGAGUUUAAACCUUUUUAAACUAAGUAGCGGACGGGUGAGUAACGCGUAAGAACCUACCUUUAGGCGAGGAAUAACUAUUGGAAACGGUAGCUAAUACCUCAUAAACUGUGGAGUAAAAGGUGAGAACCACCUAAAAAUGGGCUUGCGUCUGAUUAGCUUGUUGGUAAUUUAAAAGACUACCAAGGCAACGAUCAGUAGUUGGUCUAAGAGGAUGAUCAACCACACUGGGACUGAGACACGGCCCAGACCUCUACGGAGGGCAGCAGUGAGGAAUUUUCCGCAAUGGGCGAAAGCCUGACGGAGCAAUACCGCGUGGAGGAUGAAGGCUUGUGAGUCGUAAACUCCUUUUCUUAGUGAAGAAUUAAGACGGUAACUAAGGAAUAAGCAUCGGCUAACUCCGUGCCAGCAGCCGCGGUAAUACGGAGGAUGCAAGCGUUAUUCGGAAUUAUUGGGCGUAAAGCGUCUGUAGGUUGUUUUUUAAGUCUACUGUUAAAUGUUAAGGCUUAACCUUAAAAAAGCGGUAUGGAACUAAAAAACUUGAGUUUAGUAGAGGUAGAGGGAAUUCUCGGUGUAGUGGUGAAAUGCGUAGAUAUCGAGAAGAACACCAGUAGCGAAAGCGCUCUACUGGGCUAAAACUGACACUGAGAGACGAAAGCUAGGGGAGCAAAUAGGAUUAGAUACCCUAGUAGUCCUAGCUGUAAACGAUGGAUACUAAGUGUUGGGCUUGAAAAGAAAAGAGUUCAGUGCUGUAGCUAACGCGUUAAGUAUCCCGCCUGGGAAGUAUGCUCGCAGAGUGAAACUCAAAGGAAUUGACGGGGGCCCGCACAAGC
rnacentral:rRNA from 1 species